CACAGCACUUGCCAACUCGUAAGAGGAAGUAUAAGGAUGUGAACGCCUGCCCGGUGCUCGAAGGUUAAGAGGAUGCGUCAGUCGCAAGAUGAAGCGUUGAAUUGAAGCCCGAGUAAACGGCGGCCGUAACUAUAACGGUCCUAAGGUAGCGAAAUUCCUUGUCGGUUAAAUACCGACCUGCAUGAAUGGCGUAACGAGAUGGGAGCUGUCUCAACCAGAGAUUCAGUGAAAUUGUAGUGGAGGUGAAAAUUCCUCCUACCCGCGGCAAGACGGAAAGACCCCGUGGACCUUUACUACAACUUAGCACUGCUAAUGGGAAUAUCUUGCGCAGGAUAGGUGGGAGGCUUUGAAGUAAGGGCUUUGGCUCUUAUGGAGCCAUCCUUGAGAUACCACCCUUGAUGU
rnacentral:rRNA from 1 species